UACGUAGGAGGCGAGCGUUGUCCGGAAUUACUGGGCGUAAAGGGUGCGUAGGCGGGUCUUUAAGUCAGGGGUGAAAUCCUGGAGCUCAACUCCAGAACUGCCUUUGAUACUGAGGAUCUUGAGUUCGGGAGAGGUGAGUGGAACUGCGAGUGUAGAGGUGAAAUUCGUAGAUAUUCGCAAGAACACCAGUGGCGAAGGCGGCUCACUGGCCCGAUACUGACGCUGAGGCACGAAAGCGUGGGGAGCAAACAGG
rnacentral:rRNA from 1 species